UACGUAGGGGGCAAGCGUUGUCCGGAUUUAUUGGGCGUAAAGAGCGUGUAGGCGGCCUGACAGGUCUGCUGUGAAAACUCGAGGCUCAACCUCGAGAUGUCGGCGGAAACCGUCUGGCUAGAGUCCGGAAGGGGAGAGCGGAAUUCCUGGUGUAGCGGUGAAAUGCGUAGAUAUCAGGAGGAACACCGGUGGCGAAGGCGGCUUCCUGGACCGAAACUGACGCUGAGGCGCGAAAGCUAGGGGAGCAAACGGG
rnacentral:rRNA from 1 species